rnacentral:rRNA from 1 species
GAUGAACGCUGACAGAAUGCUUAACACAUGCAAGUCGAACGGAAAGGCCCUUGCUUGCAGGGGUACUCGAGUGGCGAACGGGUGAGUAACACGUGGGUGAUCUGCCUUGUACUUCGGGAUAAGCCUGGGAAACUGGGUCUAAUACUGGAUAGGACCAUGCUUUAGUGUGUGUGGUGGAAAGUUUUUUCGGUACAAGAUGAGCCCGCGGCCUAUCAGCUUGUUGGUGGGGUAAUGGCCUACCAAGGCGACGACGGGUAGCCGGCCUGAGAGGGUGUACGGCCACAUUGGGACUGAGACACGGCCCAG